CGUAGGGUGCGAGCGUUAAUCGGAAUUACUGGGCGUAAAGCGUGCGCAGGCGGUUUUGUAAGACAGGCGUGAAAUCCCCGGGCUCAACCUGGGAACUGCGCUUGUGACUGCAAGGCUAGAGUACGGCAGAGGGGGGUGGAAUUCCACGUGUAGCAGUGAAAUGCGUAGAGAUGUGGAGGAACACCAAUGGCGAAGGCAGCCCCCUGGGUCGAUACUGACGCUCAUGCACGAAAGCGUGGGUAGCAAACAGGAUUAGAUACCCUGGUAGUCCACGCCCUAAACGAUGUCAACUAGGUGUUGGGUGGGUAAAACCAUUUAGUACCGGAGCUAACGCGUGAAGUUGACCGCCCGGGGAGUACGGCCGCAAGGUUA
rnacentral:rRNA from 1 species